rnacentral:lncRNA from 1 species
CCUUUCUUACUCAUUUUUGAAUGACAAAGCCUGCAGUUAACUACUACGAUUUGCUGGAGUUACUGCAAAACUUUGAGAAGGAUCACCAGCUCUAAAAGGAGUCGGUGAAUGUUAUGGCAGGAUCUUCUUCUAAAUGUCGAUCCUUUAAGAAAGAAAAGAAGAACAAAAAGAACAAGAAAAUGGUGCAAAGUGCUGGAGAACCCAAGCCC